GUGAGGAAUAUUGGACAAUGGGCGCAAGCCUGAUCCAGCCAUGCCGCGUGAGUGAUGAAGGCCUUAGGGUUGUAAAGCUCUUUCACCGAUGAAGAUAAUGACGGUAGUCGGAGAAGAAGCCCCGGCUAACUUCGUGCCAGCAGCCGCGGUAAUACGAAGGGGGCUAGCGUUGUUCGGAAUUACUGGGCGUAAAGCGCACGUAGGCGGAUAUUUAAGUCAGGGGUGAAAUCCCAGAGCUCAACUCUGGAACUGCCUUUGAUACUGGGUAUCUCGAGUAUGGAAGAGGUGAGUGGAAUUCCGAGUGUAGAGGUGAAAUUCGUAGAUAUUCGGAGGAACACCAGUGGCGAAGGCGGCUCACUGGUCCAUUACUGACGCUGAGGUGCGAAAGCGUGGGGAGCAAACAGGAUUAGAAACCCUUGUAGUCC
rnacentral:rRNA from 1 species